AGAAGGCGGGCCGCGCGCGCCGGUGGGAAGCGUCCGGCUGCCACAGCGCCAGCUCCGUCCUACUCGCUGCCGUCCGGGGCCCGCUCGCCCCUCCUCCCCACUCCCCCGCCCGCCGCCGCCCGGGCGCAUGCGCUGCCUGAGCGCGAGGGUCGGCUUCGGGUGUGUGGUGGCGGCAGAGCGGAGCUGCGAGCCCGGAGAGUCAGAACCUGGGGGAGAGGGAUGGUCUCUGCACGGGGAGGAGCCGGAGGAGCCGCCGCCGCUGCCGACGCCACCGCCGCAGCCGCCGCCGCCGCCGCCUCGGCGCCCGCCUCCCGGCGCUGACGGGCUCACACGAAGCCGGCGAGGGAGAACCCGCACCAGCGGUCGCCGGCACACCGCCCAGCAUGGUCCGAGAAACCAGGCACCUCUGGGUGGGCAACUUACCGGAGAAUGUGCGGGAAGAGAAGAUCAUCGAGCAUUUCAAACGAUAUGGCCGCGUGGAAAGUGUCAAAAUUCUCCCUAAGAGGGGAUCUGAAGGAGGAGUGGCUGCCUUUGUGGAUUUUGUGGACAUCAAAAGUGCACAGAAAGCUCACAACUCGGUCAACAAAAUGGGAGAUAGAGACCUACGCACGGAUUAUAAUGAACCAGGCACCAUUCCAAGUGCUGCUCGGGGAUUGGAUGAUACAGUUUCCAUAACAUCUCGUAGUAGAGAGGUUUCUGGGUUCAGAGGAGGUGGUGGAGGGCCUGCUUAUGGCCCUCCACCAUCACUUCAUGCACGAGAAGGACGUUAUGAGCGGAGACUUGAUGGGGCUUCAGAUAACAGGGAGCGUGCUUAUGAACAUAGUGCCUAUGGACACCAUGAACGGGGGACGGGAGGAUUUGAUCGGACAAGACAUUACGAUCAGGAUUACUAUAGAGAUCCUCGCGAACGAACUUUACAACAUGGGCUCUAUUAUUCUUCUCGGAGUCGAAGUCCAAACCGUUUUGAUGCUCAUGACCCCCGAUAUGAACCUAGGGCUCGGGAGCAGUUUACGCUGCCCAGUGUGGUACACAGGGAUAUCUACAGGGAUGAUAUUACCCGGGAGGUACGAGGCAGAAGGCCUGAGCGGAAUUACCAGCACAGCAGGAGUCGGUCACCGCAUUCAUCCCAAUCUAGAAAUCAGUCUCCUCAGAGGCUGGCUAGCAGACUCACAAGGUCCCCUAGCGGCAGCGGCUCUAGGAGUAGAUCCUCCAGUAGUGAUUCAAUCAGCAGCAGCAGUAGUACCAGCAGUGACAGCACUGAUUCUAGCAGUAGUUCAAGCGAUGACUCUCCAGCCCGGUCAGUUCAAUCCGCAGCAGUCCCCGCACCCACUUCCCAGUUGCUUUCAUCCCUGGAAAAAGAUGAGCCCCGUAAAAGUUUUGGGAUCAAAGUUCAGAAUCUUCCAGUACGCUCUACAGAUACAAGCCUUAAAGAUGGCCUUUUCCAUGAAUUUAAGAAAUUUGGAAAGGUGACUUCAGUGCAAAUACAUGGAGCUUCAGAAGAGAGGUAUGGCCUGGUAUUCUUUCGACAGCAAGAGGACCAAGAAAAAGCAUUGACUGCAUCAAAAGGAAAACUUUUCUUUGGCAUGCAGAUUGAAGUAACAGCAUGGAUAGGGCCAGAAACAGAAAGUGAAAAUGAAUUUCGCCCUUUGGAUGAAAGGAUAGAUGAAUUUCAUCCCAAAGCAACAAGAACCCUCUUUAUUGGCAACCUUGAAAAAACCACUACUUACCAUGAUCUUCGAAACAUCUUCCAGCGCUUUGGUGAAAUUGUGGAUAUUGAUAUUAAAAAAGUUAAUGGAGUUCCUCAGUAUGCAUUUUUGCAAUACUGUGAUAUUGCCAGCGUUUGUAAGGCUAUUAAGAAGAUGGAUGGGGAAUACCUUGGAAAUAACCGCCUUAAGCUGGGUUUUGGAAAGAGCAUGCCUACAAACUGCGUGUGGUUAGAUGGGCUUUCUGCAAAUGUGUCGGAUCAAUAUUUAACACGACAUUUCUGCCGAUAUGGGCCUGUGAUAAAGGUGGUGUUUGACCGCUUGAAAGGCAUGGCCCUGAUUAUCUACAAUGAAAUUGAAUAUGCACAGGCAGCUGUAAAAGAGACCAAGGGGAGGAAAAUUGGUGGGAAUAAAAUUAAGGUGGAUUUUGCAAAUCGGGAAAGUCAGCUGGCAUUUUAUCACUGUAUGGAAAAAUCUGGUCAAGAUAUCAGAGACUUUUAUGAAAUGUUAAUGGAAAGAAGAGAGGAACGAAGGGGAUCUUAUGAUUAUAGCCAAGAUCGCACAUAUUAUGAGACUGUUCGUACUCCAGGCACAUAUGCUGAGGAUUCUAGACGGGACUAUCCAGCUCGAGGGAGAGAAUUUUAUUCAGAAUGGGAAACUUACCAAGGAGACUAUUAUGAAUCUCGCUAUUAUGAUGAUCCUCGGGAAUACAGGGAUUACAGAAGUGAUCCUUAUGAACAAGAUAUUCGGGAUUACAGUUACAGGCAACGGGAACGAGAAAGAGAACGCGAAAGAUUUGAUCCUGACCGGGACAGAGACCAUGAGAGGAGGCCAAUUGAACGCAGUCAGAGUCCGGUGCACCUGCGGCGCCCACAGAGUCCUGGAACAUCUCCCUCACAGUCAGAGAGAUUACCAAGUGAUUCUGAGAGGAGGGUUUAUAGCCGGUCCUCAGACCGGAGUGGAAGCUGUAGCUCACUUUCCCCUCCAAGAUAUGAUAAACUUGACAAACCUCGUUUGGAACGUUAUACAAAAAAUGAAAAGACAGAUAAAGAACGAACUUUUGAUCCUGAGAGAGUGGAAAGAGAGAGACGCUUAAUAAGGAAGGAGAAAGUGGAAAAGGACAAAACUGACAAGCAGAAACGAAAAGGAAAAGUUCAUUCUCCUAGUUCCCAAUCUUCAGAAACAGACCAAGAAAAUGAAAGAGAACAGAGCCCUGAAAAAUCAAGGAGUUUUAAUAAACUGAGCAGAGAGAAAGCUGACAAAGAAGGAAUAGCAAAAAACCGCUUAGAACUCAUGCCUUGUGUGGUUUUGACUCGAGUGAAAGAAAAAGAGGGGAAGGUGAUUGACCACACUCCAUUGGAAAAGCUGAAAGCCAAGCUUGAUAAUGACACUGUUAAGUCUUCUGCCAUAGAUCAGAAACUGCAAGUUUCUCACAUGGAGCCUGCAAAAUCUGACUUAUCUAAACUGGAAUCUGUCAGAAUGAAAGUGCCAAAGGAAAAGGCACUUUCAAGCCACAUAGAAGUGGUAGAUAAGGAAGGCAGACUUAAAACCCGGAAGCACCUAAAACCAGAGCAGUCUGCUGAUGGGGUAAGUGCUGUGGAUUUGGAGAAGCUGGAAGCAAGGAAAAGGCGUUUUGCAGAUUCCAAUUUGAAAGCAGAAAGGCAAAAAUCAGAAGUCAAGAAAAGUAGUCCAGAGAUGGAGGAUGCUCGGGUGCUUUUAAAAAAGCAGCUUGACACGCCGUCCAAAGAUGUCAUUCUGUUGAAGGAAGGAGAGUCUGAGAGAAAGCCCACGAGGAAAGAAAUUCUUAAAAGAGACUCUAAAAAAAUCAAACUAGACAGACUUAAUGCUGUUCCCAGCCCCAAAGACUGUCAGGAACUUGUCAGUGUUUCUGUUGGGACUGGCUCAAGACCCAUCUCAGACCUGCAAGCAAGGCUUGGAGAACCAGUAGGUGAAUCUGUGGAAAAUCAAGAAAUCCAGUCAAAAAAAUCUACUCCCUCCAAACCACAGCUCAAACAGCUGCAGUUAUUAGAUGAGCAAGGACCAGAGAGAGAAGAUAUUAGGAAAAACUAUUGCAGUCUUCGUGAUGAAGCACUUGAAUGUAAAUCAGGCCAAGAGAAACCACAUUCAGUAAAUACUGAAGAAAAAAUUGGCAUUGAUAUUGAUUACACGCAGAGUUACCGAAAACAAAUGGAGCAGAGUCGUAGAAAACAGCAGAUGGAGAUGGAAAUAGCCAAGUCUGAGAAGUUCGGCAGUCCUAAAAAAGAUGUAGAUGACUAUGAAAGGCGUAGUCUUGUUCAUGAGGUAGGUAAACCCCCUCAAGAUGUCACUGAUGAUUCGCCGCCCAGCAAAAAGAAAAGGAUGGAUCAUGUUGAUUUUGAUAUCUGCACCAAGAGAGAGAGGAAUUACAGAAGUUCACGCCAAAUCAGCGAAGAUUCUGAAAGGACUGGUUGUUCUCCCAGUAUCCGACAUGGUUCCUUCCAUGAGGAAGAUGACCCCAUAGGCUCUCCUAGGCUAAUGUCAGUAAAAGGGUCUCCUAAAGUAGAUGAAAAGGGACUCCCUUAUUCUAAUAUGACAGUCAGAGAAGAAUCCUUAAAAUUUAAUCCUUACGAUUCCAGCAAGAGAGAACAGAUGGCAGACAUGGCCAAAAUAAAACUAACUGUCUUGAAUUCUGAAGAUGAACUAAAUCAGUGGGACUCGCAAAUGAAGCAAGAUGCCAGCAGAUUUGAUGUGAGUUUCCCAAACAGCAUAAUUAAGAGGGACAGCCUUCGAAAGAGGUCUGUACGCGACUUAGAACCUGGUGAGGUGCCUUCUGAUUCUGAUGAAGAUGUUGAACACAAAUCCCACUCACCCAGAGCGUCAGCAUUAUAUGAAAGUUCUCGAUUAUCUUUUUUAUUGAGGGAUAGAGAAGACAAACUACGUGAGCGAGAUGAAAGAUUCUCUAGUUCUUUAGAAAGGAACAAAUUUUAUUCUUUUGCAUUGGAUAAGACAAUCACCCCAGACACUAAGGCUUUGCUUGAAAGAGCUAAAUCCCUCUCUUCAUCUCGAGAAGAAAAUUGGUCUUUUCUUGAUUGGGACUCUCGAUUUGCUAAUUUUCGAAACAACAAAGAUAAAGAAAAAGUUGACUCUGCUCCAAGACCUAUUCCAUCUUGGUACAUGAAAAAGAAGAAAAUUCGGACUGAUUCAGAAGGAAAAAUUGAUGAUAAAAAAGAUGAUCAUAAAGAAGAAGAACAGGAAAGGCAAGAAUUAUUUGCUUCUCGUUUUUUACAUAGCUCGAUCUUUGAACAAGAUUCCAAGCGCUUACAGCACCUAGAGAGAAAAGAUGAGGAAUCUGACUUCAUUUCUGGUAGGUUAUAUGGGAGGCAGACAUCUGAUGGAGUGAACAGCACAACUGAUUUGAUUCAAGAGCCAGUAGUUCUUUUCCAUAGCAGAUUUAUGGAACUCACACGAAUGCAACAGAAAGAAAAAGAAAAAGACCAAAAACCUAAAGAGGCUGAGAAACAGGAAGAUACAGAAGAUCAUCCCAAGACCCCAGAAUCUGCUUCUGAGAAUAAAGAGUCAGAACUGAAAACCCCAUCUUCGACUGGGCCUCCUUGUGUCACUGUUUUAACUCCAGAGUCGGCAUCAUUGCCACUGGAGAAGACAGCCGGUGAUAAAACAGGAGAGCUGCUUUCGGUGACAGAAGAGAAGACCAUGGAGCCAGCCUCUGUCUCAGAAGAAGCAAAACCUGCAUCUGAACUGGCUCCCCUUGCUGUGGAACAACCUGAACAGGCAGACUUGCCCCCAGGAGUGGACGCCGAGAAGGAUGCUGCCGGAACUCCUUUAGUUGGAGAAAGUUCAUCAGUUGACCAGCUGCCUUAUCUGGAUGCCAAGCCUCCAACUCCUGGGGCCUCAUUUUCCCAUGCAGAGAUCAGUGGGGACCCAGAACCUGACAAUACCCAACCACUUUCAAAACAGACUCAGAAGCCUAAGGAGGCUGAUGAGCCAAAAGUAGACAAGCCAGACCCUACUGCUAGUGUUGAGCCCAUUGCAAAUCAGAAAGCCGAAGUUGUUGCUGAGGUUCAGCCUCAAGCUUCCGAAGGUGUAGAGGUUGAUCCUCCAGUUGCUACAAAAGAUAAAAAGCCAAACAAAAGUAAACGUUCCAAGACCCCCAUGCAGGCAGCUGUAGCAAGUAUUGUGGAGAAGCCCGUCACAAGGAAGAGUGAGAGGAUAGACCGAGAAAAACUCAAGAGGUCCAAUUCUCCUCGGGGAGAAGCCCAGAAGCUCUUAGAGUUGAAGAUGGAGGCCGAGAAGAUUACAAGGGCUGCCUCUAAAAACUCAGCCACGGACACUGAACACCCUGAGCCAAGUUUGCCCCUCAGCCGAACCAGGCGCCGGAAUGUAAGGAGUGUCUAUGCAACCAUGGGUGACCACGAAAGCCGCUCUCCAGUUAAGGAGCCCAUCGAGCAACCCAGAGUGACCAGGAAGAGAUUGGAGCGGGAGCUUCAGGAGGCCGCGGCAGUUCCUACUACCCCUCGGAGGGGAAGGCCUCCAAAAACACGCCGUCGAGCUGAAGAAGAAGAGGAGACUGAGGUGAAAGAGCCAGUUGAAACACUUAAACCAGCUGAGGGAUGGAGAUCCCCACGGUCCCAAAAAUCAGUAGCUGCUGGUGGCCCACAUGGGAAAAGGGGGAAAAAUGAACCUAAAGUUGAUGUUGAACAUACUGAGACCACCACUGAGGUGAGUCCCCAAGUAAAUGUGAAAGAAAAUAAUAUAAAAUCUAAGACUGAUAAAGAAGCAGCAGGAAGUGAAUCGAAAAGAGACAAAAAAGAAAUUGGCACAGACAAAACUCCACUUGAAACCCCCCCAGUUGAAGUGGUAGAGAAAAAAACAGCCCCUGAAAAAAAUUCCAAAUCAAAGAGAGGAAGAUCUAGAAACUCUAGGUCAGCAGUGGACAAAUCUGCAAAUCUGAAAACCGUAGAGGCCAGUGUAAGUCCCACUGUGGCUCUGGGCCCUGCAGGGCUGGCUGUGGAGAAAGAAGCUGGGGUUGUGGCAGUCUCCCCUGAAAAGAGUGGAAGUCCACCCAAGGAGGGUCUUUCAUCCCAGGUGAACUGUGAUCCAGCUGGCCCAGACAAGGAGCCAGAGAAGGAAGAUCUGUCUGCCCCUAAGCUGUCCCCAGAAGCAAAUCAGUUAGCCAAGCAGAUGGAGCUGGAGCAGGCCGUGGAGAACAUCGAAAAGCUCACUGAAACCUCUGCCUCCGCGGCUUUCAAGGCAGCAGCCACAGAUGCCCCAGAGGGCCUUUCCACAGAGGACAGGGACAAGCCUGCACACCAAGCGAGUGAAACGGAACUGGCUGCGGCCAUUGGCUCCAUCAUCAAUGAUAUUUCUGGGGAGCCAGAAAACUUCCCAGCACCUCCACCUUACCCUGCAGAAUCUCAGACAGACCUGCAGCCCCACUCACAAGAGCUGCAGACUCCUGAGGAGGGAAUGGAGCCUGAGACCAAUGAGGCUGGGUCUGGCAUCUGGGAGACUGAGGCUACUACAGAAUCUUCUGGCCCACAAGUCAGUGCCCCUAACCCUUCCGCAGGCCCAGCAGAUACCAAGGAAGUUGGAGGGAAUAGCAGCGAAACCCCCCACCCAGUGCUGGAAACUAAGGGAUCAAAAGAAGCUGAAGUGGCUCUCCCUCGGAAAGACAAAGGGCGCCAUAAAACAACUAGAUCACGCCGCAAACGGAAUACAAACAAGAAAACGGGGGCUACUGCAGAGACCCGUGUCUCACAACCCAACCAAGUUCAAAGCAAUCAUCCUGCCACAAAUGAGGGGACAAUGGUACAAACCCCAGAAGCUCCACAGUCGGAAGAAAAGCAGAGUGAAAAGCCCCAGGUCACUCCUCCAGAGACAUGUGCUUCUGACCCAAGCGAGACUCCAUCCAGGGAAAAUUUGUCCCAAGAAAGCAGUGUUGAAGAAAAGACUCCAACCAAAAGGACUGUGCUCCCAGACCCUCUCCCUCCCUCCCAGCCAGUAUUGGUGGACAAUGAGCCCCAAGCCAGAUUCAAGGUGCAUUCCAUCAUUGAAAGUGAUCCAGUGACCCCACCCAGUGAUUCAAGCAUACCUACCCCCACAAUUCCUUCUGCAACUGCAGCAAAGCUCCCACCCCCACUGACCUCUGGGGGGAUCCCACACCAGAGUCCCCCUACUAAGGUGACAGAGUGGAUCACAAGACAGGAGGAACCUCGGGCUCAGUCCACCCCAUCUCCAGCUCUUCCCCCAGACACAAAAGCCUCUGACAUUGACACCAGCUCCAGUACACUGAGAAAGAUUCUCAUGGACCCCAAAUAUGUAUCUGCCACAGGCAUCACUUCCACGAGUGUCACUGCUGCCAUUGCAGAGCCUGUCAGUGCUGCCCCUUGUCUGCAUGAGGCACCAACCCCUCCAGCUGAACCUAAACAGCCUCUUUUAGAAGAAAAACCAGGAGCUCCAGUAACUAGUGCUUCUGACAUCCAGGCCUCAGAGGUUGCAGUAGCCACUGACAAAGAAAAGGUGGCUCCAGUCAUUGCUCCCAAAAUUACUUCUGUUAUUAGCCGGAUGCCUGUCAGCAUUGAUUUGGAGAAUUCACAAAAGAUAACUCUGGCAAAACCAGCUCCUCAAACCCUGACUGGUCUGGUGAGCGCCCUGACUGGCCUGGUAAAUGUCUCCUUGGUCCCAGUGAAUGCACUGACUGGCCCAGUGAAUGCCCUGAAAGGCCCUGUGAAGGGCUCAGUGACGACACUGAAAGGUUUGGUGAACACUUCUGCUGGCCCCGUCAAUGUCCUAAAGGGGCCAGUAAAUGUUCUGACAGGGCCAGUGAACGUUCUCACCACUCCGGUGAAUGCUACUGUGGGCACAGUGAACACUGCCACAGGUGUGGUGAAUGCCGCUUCGGCUGCAGUGAGCACUACAGCGGCUGCAGUGAGUGCUUCAGCGGGUACAGUGACAGUCACAGCAGGUGCAGUGACUGCUGCGUCUGGUGUUGUGACUGCCACCACAACAGGUGCAUUGACUGUAGCAGGUGCCGUGAUUGCACCACCAGCAAAGUGCAAGCAGAGAUCAAGCACUAACGAAAACAUUCGGUUCCACCCAGGGUCUAUGUCUGUGAUUGACGAGCGUCCAGCAGACUCAGGCUCUGGAGCUGGGCUGCGUGUGAACACUUCUGAAGGAGUUGUGCUCCUGAGCUAUUCGGGGCAGAAGACUGAAGGCCCACAGCGGAUCAGCGCCAAGAUUAGCCAGAUCCCCCCAGCGAGUGCCAUGGACAUUGAAUUUCAACAGUCGGUAUCCAAGUCCCAGGUCAAACCUGAUUCUGUUGCACCAUCACAGCCACCACCCAAAGGCCCUCAGACUCCUUCAGGCUAUGCAAAUGUGGCUACCCACUCUACUCUAGUGCUAACUGCCCAGACAUAUAAUGCAUCUCCGGUAAUUUCAUCUGUUAAAGCCGACCGUCCUUCCUUGGAGAAGCCUGAGCCCCUUCACCUCUCUGUGUCUACCCCUGUCACCCAGGGUGGCACAGUGAAGGUUCUCACCCAGGGCAUAAACACAUCCCCAGUGCUGGUUCACAACCAGUUGGUUCUCACCCCAAGCAUAGUUACCACUAAUAAAAAGCUUGCUGACCCUGUCACUCUCAAAAUAGAGACUAAGGUCCUUCAGCCGGCUAACCUGGGGUCUGCUCUCACUCCCCACCACCCUCCUGCUCUGCCCAGCAAACUGCCUGCAGAAGCAAACCACAUCACCUCAGGGCCCAGCACCCCAACAGAUCGAACUGUCUCCCAUCUGGCCGCCACAAAGCCAGACGCACAUUCUCCUCGACCCAGUGGGCCUGCUCCAUCUCUUUUCCCAAGGGCAUGCCACCCCAGCAGGACCACGUCCACUGCGCUCUCCACUAAUGCCACAGUCAUGCUGGCUGCAGGCAUUCCUGUGCCUCAGUUCAUCUCCAGCAUACACCCAGAGCAGUCUGUCAUCAUGCCACCCCACAGCAUCACCCAGACUGUCUCCCUUAGUCAUCUGUCCCAGGGUGAAGUGAGAAUGAACACGCCCACACUGCCUAGCAUCACCUACAGCAUCCGGCCAGAGGCACUUCACUCACCUCGGGCCCCUCUGCAACCCCAGCAAAUAGAGGUCAGGGCCCCACAGCGGGCAGGCACGCCCCAGCCAGCCACAGCUGGUGUGUCCUCCCUGGCCUCCCAACACGCUCCAGAGGAAGAAGUGCAUUAUCACCUCCCUGUUGCUCGAGCCGCAGCCCCUGUGCAGUCGGAAGUACUGGUCAUGCAGUCGGAGUACCGACUGCACCCAUACACUGUGCCCCGGGACGUGAGGAUCAUGGUGCACCCUCAUGUGACGGCAGUCAGUGAGCAGCCCCGGGCAGCAGAUGGUAUAGUGAAGGUGCCACCAGCCAGCAAGCCCCCUCAGCAGCCAGGGAAAGAAGCUGCCAAGAUGACAGAUGCCAAAGCAGCCCCUGCCCCUCACAGCGAGGCCCGAAUCCUUACAGUCACCCCCAGCAACCAGCUCCAAGGGCUGCCUCUGAGCCCACCUGUGGUGGUGACCCAUGGGGUGCAGAUCGUACACUCCAGUGGUGGGGAGCUGUUUCAGGAGUACAGAUGCGGGGAUAUCCGCACCUACCAUGGCCCGGCUCAGCUCACUCACACUCAGUUUCCUGCCACCGCCUCCAUCGGCCUGCCUUCCCGGACCAAGGUUCCCACUCAGGGUCCCCCUCCUGAAAGUGAGCCUUUGCAGCCCACUCAACCUGUGCCGUCUACACAGCCUGCCCAGCAGCCUGUGCCAUCCACACAGCCUGUCCAGCCCACGCAGCCCUCACAGCUUAGCCAGCCACCAAGCAGCAAGAUGCCUCAGGUCUCCCAGGAGGCGAAAGGGACCCAGACAGGAGUAGAACAGCCUCGCCUCCCAACCGUACCUGCGAACAGACCAGCUGAGCCUCAUGUCCAGGUUCAGAGGACCCAGACAGAAACAAGCCAGAUCUCCUAUCCCUCCCCUGUAUCUGUCUCCAUGAAGCCUGACCUUCCGGGCCCUCUCCCUGCCCAGGCUGCCCCAAAGCAGCCAUUGUUUGUCUCCACAACCUCGGGCCCUAGCACCCCUCCAGGAUUGGCUCUGCUGUACACUGAAGCCCAGCCCUCCCCCAAACAAGACUCCUCUCCACACUUGACUUCCCAGAGGCCUGUGGAUAUGGUCCAGCUUCUGAAGAAGUACCCCAUUGUGUGGCAGGGCCUCCUGGCCCUCAAGAAUGACACAGCUGCUGUGCAGCUCCACUUUGUCUCUGGCAACAAUGUCCUGGCCCAUCGGUCUCUACCCCUCUCUGAAGGAGGCCCUCCACUGAGGAUUGCCCAGAGGAUGCGGCUGGAGGCCUCACAGCUGGAAGGGGUUACCCGAAGGAUGACGGUGGAGUCAGAGUAUUGUCUGCUGCUGGCUCUGCCCUGUGGCCGUGACCAAGAGGAUGUCGUAAGCCAGACCGAAUCCCUGAAGGCUGCCUUCAUCACCUAUCUACAGGCCAAGCAGGCGGCGGGGAUCAUCAAUGUUCCUAACCCUGGCUCCAAUCAGCCUGCCUACGUGCUGCAGAUCUUCCCACCCUGCGAGUUCUCGGAGAGUCACCUGUCCCGUCUGGCCCCUGACCUUCUGGCCAGCAUUUCCAACAUUUCUCCCCACCUCAUGAUUGUCAUUGCCUCUGUGUGAGCCACUGGUCGGUCAACGACUCAGUGUAUUUUCCCGAGGCUCUGCAGCAAACACACACACAGGACAACCCAGCCAAGUGGAGGAAGAAGCUGCCGAAGGGGACAGACUCCACUGCCAGACGGCCAGCCUUGCCCUCCUGGCCUGCCGGCCCAGCUCAGGCGGACAGACCCCUCUGGGCAGUGGUGCUGCUACUAUAAACAAGAAAACAGAACUGCCUUUGCACUAAAUUAGUGACUUGGACUUUUGCAUAGUGAAGACAGGCUGUGGCACUCUGGACAUCUUGGUGUAUGUGAACACGUCACAGACUCAACGCAGGACUUCAAGCUGCUGCUGAAACCUUGGGGUCAAGGAACAUUUCAUUGGGUUUGUCCCCAUCUCCUCCCUUCUCCUUGCUCAUCUGGCUGUCAUCUUCCUUAAUUCUCUUGCCACCACCAUCUGAUUCACCCAGGAUGUACAGCUUACAAUCGAAACAGAGCAAACCGAAGGAUUUUCUGUCGGUGGGAUAUGCAGAACUUGGGAUGUGUGUAUAUAUAAAUAUAUAAUAUAUAUAAAUAUAUAUAAUACUGACUUAAAAAAAUCAAAUCCCCCUGACAUACAUUUUUUUUAAUCUGUGCCAAAAAUGUGUUUUAAGAGAAAAAUCUUAUUUUCAUACUCAGACUUUGUAUUGUCACUCAUUUGUAUAAGUGCGCUUCGUUACAGCCGGGCCCUGCCCCUGCGAUCUGAAAGUGUGUGUGUGUGUCUCUCUCUCUCCCACACACAUACAUACACACACACACACACACACACACACACACACACACACACUGCAAAAAGACUGGCUUCCCUCUUCUUAUGUGACCUUGACCUCUCCCCACAACUUCCUAACACCUAUUAAUUUAUGAAACUGUUUUUCUCAGCGCAGUUUUGUUUUGUGUGUCCAUUGGAUUACAAACUUUAUUAAAAAAUACAAAACA